rnacentral:rRNA from 1 species
GGGCGACUGAACUGGGAAGAGCCCAGCGCAUAACCUGGCGUCGUGACCCGGCGCCAGGGGUGUUGCGUUUCGGAGGGUCCGGCACGCAGUCUCUCACCGCCUAAGUUAUGCUUGAAAGCGGCCACUACCCAUGGAGGGUGACAGGCCCGUGUGGCGGAGCCCGCGAGGGUACACGAGAGAUUGUCGGAAAGGGCCUCUCCGUAGAGUCGGGUUGCUUGAGAAUGCAGCCCUAAGUAGGUGGUAAACUCCAUCUAAGGCUAAAUAUGACCACGAGACCGAUAGCGAACAAGAACCGUGAGG